rnacentral:rRNA from 1 species
UUUCGCAAUGCCCGAAAGGGUGACGAAGCGACGCCGCGUGUGGGAAGAAGGCCUUCGGGUUGUAAACCACUGUCGGGAGUUAGGAAAUGUAAGGGUGCUAAUAGUAUCCUUGCUUGACUAAGGCCCCGGAGGAAGCCACGGCUAACUCUGUGCCAGCAGCCGCGGUAAUACAGAGGCGGCAAGCGUUGUUCGGAAUUAUUGGGCGUAAAGAGCACGUAGGCGGCCUUGUAAGUCAGUUGUGAAAGCCUUCUGCUUAACGGAAGAACAGCAGCUGAUACUGCAAGGCUAGAGUGCGGAAGGGGAGAGUGGAACUUCUGGUGGAGCGGUGAAAUGCGUAGAUAUCAGAAGGAACACCGGCGGCGAAGGCGACUCUCUGGUCCGUAACUGACGCUGAGUGUGCGAAAGCUAGGGGAGCAAACGGGAUUAGAUACCCCGGUAGUCCUAGCCGUAAACGAUGGGCACUAAGUAGAGGGGUUUUA